GGUGGCCUUGAACUUGCAGUAAUCCUCCUGCCUCAGCCUCCCAAGUGCUGGGAUUACAGGCGUGCACUAUCACACCCAGCUUAACCCCUGCAUCUUAUCUCAGUAUCCCCUAACGUGUAAUUCAGAGAGACUGAUUUAAGAAGCAGACCUAACACUGAAAAUGUGAUUCUGAGCACAUUACACGACUUCUCUAAGCCUGCUUUUCCCUCUGCAGGAUGCUGCUAAUAGAGUAAUAGCGUCUGUCCCUUAGCACUAAAUGGCAUAAAGUACAUAGGGAGGCGUGGCAGCGUCAGAGGCUGAGUGAGGCGCGGGCGGUCAGUCCUUCUGCCUGUUACUCUUCUGCUUACCUCCGCUGUCGGUUCAGGGUGUUGGACAAGUGGACUCACAGACUGAGUCCUAUUUUAGAAGUAAUACUUUUGUCGUAAUACGUGUUGGUUCAAAGUCUUGAGUCACAUUCAUUUUCACUCAGACCUCUGCAUGCGGACCACAGUGGAGAAGGCACUGAUGAUGGUAUUCUUGUCCUUGAAGGUUCAGCUGACUCAAGAGCUAACACAAACGUGGCACAUUGGUAACAUUAAAUCUGCCCACUGUGUGGUUGGUCAUAGACGGCCUCCUGUCGUAAGAGCUCCAGACGGGUCUGGGAGGAAGUAGGUCACGGCCACGGACUGACUGAAGGAAGGGAGCGAGGCUUCCGGGUGGAGUGAGUUCAUCCAGGGAAGCAGGGUCCAGGUUUGCCAAGUGUGUAACGAAAGCAAGAAAGACAAGCUUUCUGGAGAAGGACAAGCUUGGAGAAUAGAGCAAGAUGAGACAGAAGGAUGGGGAAUGUGGUGGGUGGGGUAGGGCUUCUGUGGGGCGGGGGACCUGCAUUGGAUAAGCUGAGCUGCAGUGGUGAUGGGUUGAGGCCUGUGUGCGGUAAAGGUGGGAGCAGAAAGGUUCUGGAGUCUCUCAGAUGGAGUCUCACUAUUGAAAAGGAAGCCAGUGUCCCAGGUACUUACCCAGCCAUGCUAAACUAAAACGUCGUUUAUGUAACGCUGCUAGACACAGCUGUGUAACAGCCAUGCAGAGCGCCAGAGCAAUCUGAUCAGAGAUGAGGGAACAUUCUGGAGGAGGCGGGACUUGAACUGGAAAGGUCGUUGGCAGCGUGUGUUACUGUUUUAGUCAGUAGAGGCCGCUGAUGACUGCUGCCCUGCUGGGUGUUUCGCUUUGAUCUUGAAUAUCCCCCGCAUGCUCGUGCUGAAGUCUGAAUCACUAACACCAGGGCUCUGGGAGAUGCUGGGAACUGUGGGACGUUAGGUCACUGGGGUCACGCCACUGAGGGAGACACAGCACCCCAGCCCCUUUCUUGUCACACUCUCUUUGCCUCCCGGCCAUGGUGAGGUGAACAGACCCUGUCGGUCACAUGCUUCUGCCAUGAUGUGGAUGCUGCCAUAGGCCUAGAGCAACAGGGCCAAGCAAGCAUGCACUAAAGCCUUUGACCCUGAGAGAAAAUAAAUCUUUUCUCCUUGUGUGUUGUUUAUCUCAGGUAUUUUGUCACAAUAACGGAAAGCUAACACAUUGGGCUCUCCACAGAGUGCAGAGAUUCUGAAGUAGCCUCUAUCCAUGACACCCAUGUGGACCUGUGUCAGGGCGUGCAGCUCCAGAGCUGCGGACAGCUGCUGGAGCAUGAAGGCUUUGCAAGGGCUCCCCGGGGAGCCCCUGACGGUUGCAGAGCAGGUCAGCUGCGUCUGCAGCCCUUGCACUCGCAGCCCUCCUGCUGAGCUCCAGCAAAGGUGCUGAUUAGUACCAACUCCAACCAUAGGUGUCCCGGUCUUGUUAGUGACUUACCUGUUCUCUAGGACCUGCAGUGAGCCGCUCAGUUCAUCCAGGCACGUGGACAUUGGUCAGCGGGCGGUGACGCUCAGGCCCAGCACCCUCGCCAGCCGCUGAGACCUUGCUAAGCGCUUAAUUCCUGGAACUGGACGUGACGCCGCUGCACCUCCUCCCGGGCUUGUGAAGACUGAGUGAGCUGACGCGGGGAGAGCCCAGCCCGGGGCCGGGCAGUAGCUGCGAUCGUUCCCACCCACGCGAGCCUCGCCACUUUACCCUCCACGUGCCGCAGCCGGCCCAACCCGCGGCCUCGCAGAGGGCCCUGCACGCCGCGCGCGUGGAGUGCAGCUCUACUAGAGCUGCUUUUAUGCUGAACCAGAGUCCUGUGACUCACGCUUGAGUUCGUUUUCCCUCUGGAAUCACCUAUACACAGCUAAAAGGAGAUAAAAGUUCGUAGUUCCUCCUUGUAAUCAACAGUUUCUUCAUCUUUUAAUCAUGAAGCUGAAUAAAAGGACCUCCCCCCCCCCCCCGAGUUAACUGUACUAAAUCAAGAGAGCAUCGGGCAGGCUCGUACAAGGACUAGGUUUUAAUCCUGACUCUGUCACUAAGCUGUUUUGCAUAAAAUGAGACCUGUCAAUCAUGGCACUCAUCUGAAAAAGGAGCGGUAUAUCAUAGCACCCACGACAGGUCAGUUUGCUCUCACAUUUCAUCUUCCAUAGGUUGGCAGUGAUAGUUCAGGUACGGUGUUGCGAGGGGAUCUAGGGAGGGUGCUUUCUGAACUCAGUUAGUGAUGUCUGCCAAUAAUACCAGGAUAUUUUGGUAACAUUUGGGGCACAUACUUACUAUGCCUCUGCCCAGUGGUUUAAGGCGGCUCAUGGCUUCAAAUCUACUUAAGAAGCUAAUUAUAUCAACAGGUAGGUAAUCAGUGUCAUCGCGGGGCUCUGGAUUAUACUUACGCAAACGACAUAAAAUGCUCUCUCUAGCAGGUAGUGUCCUUCAUGCUGUCCGACAGGAACUGGGGGGAAGCAGAGGCCGAGGAGUUCAGAGGGGUUGAGUGGAACCUUCACGAGGGAAGUGAAUCUCAGGGCAGCACAGAGGACUGGA